GUCAGGAGCUGGGUUGAAGGUCAGGAUAGCCUGGAAAUUGGGAAGCAGGUACAAGAUAAGGAGCAGGCAAGGCAGGAAGGCUCAGGGACCAAGUCCAAGGGCUACCAAGGCUGGUAAAACUUCCCAGGACAACCUUGUUGCUGACUGUGGGCAUAUGUGAGUUUGGUGCAGGGAUGGUGGACUGCUGAAGAACAGGCAGAGAUGCGGAGCAGAAAGUGCAUGGAGAGGACACUGUCCAGAGAAGGCAGUGCCUGCUGGCUGCCCACAGAGCCCUGACCCUUGCGUUCACUCCUGCCAUACAGCUCUUUCCAGAUGGGAGAGGGAGAAAGAAAGCUGCCAUGGCCAUCAGCAUGUCAUUGGAGUUAACACAGGAGUUGUCAAAUGCUUCCUGUUUGCUGCCGAAGAGCUCUGUAUUAGCACAAGGCUGCAAAACUGUAACAUCUAUUACCACUUUCCUGAAACUGUGGCAGCAAAGGUAUUAACUUCUGAAUUCAAUGAAUGCCCUGAAUAAAGGUCUGCUCUGGAGAGGAUGUUAUGGAAUUACAGCUGUCUGCACAAGGAGUUGUUGGGAAACAGCCAUGACAGGAUAAAGUCUGCUGUCUUACUCUGGAACACCUUUUGUGUGUAAACAUAAUUAACUUUAUCACACUUAAUGAUCUUUAGCUGGGAAGUUUCUUCAUUAAUAGCAAGGAUUACAAUAUAGCAAUACCUGCAUGCUCAGAAGGCCAGAACAUGGAGUUAAAAAAUAAAGUACUGCCUGGGCUCUUGUGGAAUAACUCU
rnacentral:lncRNA from 14 species